rnacentral:rRNA from 1 species
AAUAGAUACCCUGGUAGUCCACGCCGUAAACGAUGAGUGCUAAGUGUUGGGGGGUUUCCGCCCCUCAGUGCUGCAGCUAACGCAUUAAGCACUCCGCCUGGGGAGUACGGUCGCAAGACUGAAACUCAAAGGAAUUGACGGGGGCCCGCACAAGCGGUGGAGCAUGUGGUUUAAUUCGAAGCAACGCGAAGAACCUUACCAGGUCUUGACAUCCCGGUGACCACUAUGGAGACAUAGUUUCCCCUUCGGGGGCAACGGUGACAGGUGGUGCAUGGUUGUCGUCAGCUCGUGUCGUGAGAUGUUGGGUUAAGUCCCGCAACGAGCGCAACCCUUAUUCUUAGUUGCCAUCAUUCAGUUGGGCACUCUAAGGAGACUGCCGGUGAUAAACCGGAGGAAAGUGGGGAUGACGUCAAAUCAUCAUGCCCCUUAUGACCUGGGCUACACACGUGCUACAAUGGACGGUACAAACGGUUGCCAACCCGGCGAGGGGAGCUAAUCCGAUAAACCCGUUCUCAGUUCGGAUUGUAGGCUGCAACGUCGCCUAC